AGCUUGCUAGAUUGAUGGCGAGUGGCGAACGGGUGAGUAAUACAUCGGAACGUGCCCUGUAGUGGGGGAUAACUAGUCGAAAGAUUAGCUAAUACCGCAUACGACCUGAGGGUGAAAGUGGGGGACCGCAAGGCCUCAUGCUAUAGGAGCGGCCGAUGUCUGAUUAGCUAGUUGGUGGGGUAAAGGCCCACCAAGGCGACGAUCAGUAGCUGGUCUGAGAGGACGAUCAGCCACACUGGGACUGAGACACGGCCCAGACUCCUACGGGAGGCAGCAGUGGGGAAUUUUGGACAAUGGGGGCAACCCUGAUCCAGCAAUGCCGCGUGUGUGAAGAAGGCCUUCGGGUUGUAAAGCACUUUUGUCCGGAAAGAAAUCGCACUUACUAAUAUUAGGUGUGGAUGACGGUACCGGAAGAAUAAGGACCGGCUAACUACGUGCCAGCAGCCGCGGUAAUACGUAGGGUCCAAGCGUUAAUCGGAAUUACUGGGCGUAAAGCGUGCGCAGGCGGUUGUGCAAGACCGAUGUGAAAUCCCCGGGCUUAACCUGGGAAUUGCAUUGGUGACUGCACGGCUAGAGUGUGUCAGAGGGGGGUAGAAUUCCACGUGUAGCAGUGAAAUGCGUAGAGAUGUGGAGGAAUACCGAUGGCGAAGGCAGCCCCCUGGGAUAACACUGACGCUCAUGCACGAAAGCGUGGGGAGCAAACAGGAUUAGAUACCCUGGUAGUCCACGCCCUAAACGAUGUCAACUAGUUGUUGGGGAUUCAUUUCCUUAGUAACGUAGCUAACGCGUGAAGUUGACCGCCUGGGGAGUACGGUCGCAAGAUUAAAACUCAAAGGAAUUGACGGGGACCCGCACAAGCGGUGGAUGAUGUGGAUUAAUUCGAUGCAACGCGAAAAACCUUACCUACCCUUGACAUGCCACUAACGAAGCAGAGAUGCAUUAGGUGCUCGAAAGAGAAAGUGGACACAGGUGCUGCAUGGCUGUCGUCAGCUCGUGUCGUGAGAUGUUGGGUUAAGUCCCGCAACGAGCGCAACCCUUGUCUCUAGUUGCUACGAAAGGGCACUCUAGAGAGACUGCCGGUGACAAACCGGAGGAAGGUGGGGAUGACGUCAAGUCCUCAUGGCCCUUAUGGGUAGGGCUUCACACGUCAUACAAUGGUGCAUACAGAGGGUUGCCAAGCCGCGAGGUGGAGCUAAUCCCAGAAAAUGCAUCGUAGUCCGGAUCGUAGUCUGCAACUCGACUACGUGAAGCUGGAAUCGCUAGUAAUCGCGGAUCAGCAUGCCGCGGUGAAUAUGUUCCCGGGUCUUGUACACACCGCCCGUCACACCAUGGGAGUGGGUUUUGCCAGAAGUAGUUAGCCUAACCGUAAGGAGGGCGAUACC
rnacentral:rRNA from 1 species